UACGGAGGAUGCGAGCGUUAUCCGGAUUCAUUGGGUUUAAAGGGUGCGUAGGCGGCCCGGUAAGUCAGCGGUGAAAGUUUGCGGCUCAACCGUAAAAUUGCCGUUGAUACUGUCGGGCUUGAGUUCAGAUGAAGUGGGCGGAAUGAGUAGUGUAGCGGUGAAAUGCUUAGAUAUUACUCAGAACACCGAUUGCGAAGGCAGCCCACUAAACUGCGACUGACGCUGAUGCACGAAAGCGUGGGGAUCGAACAGGAUUAGAUA
rnacentral:rRNA from 1 species